UACGGAGGGUGCAAGCGUUAUCCGGAUUCACUGGGUUUAAAGGGUGCGUAGGUGGGAAUGUAAGUCAGUGGUGAAAUCUCCGUGCUUAACAUGGAAACUGCCAUUGAUACUAUGUUUCUUGAAUUUUCUGGAGGUCAGCGGAAUAUGUCAUGUAGCGGUGAAAUGCUUAGAUAUGACAUAGAACACCAAUUGCGAAGGCAGCUGACUACAGGGAUAUUGACACUGAGGCACGAAAGCGUGGGGAUCAAACCGG
rnacentral:rRNA from 1 species